UGAUUUUCCUCUUCAAGACACUCAAUUUGAGCUUCAAUUUCAGAAAUAUGUUUCUCAUCAACAGCUUCUUCGAUAUGCACCUGGUUUUCUUGGUCGUGGACCGGCUCUUCAACAAAUUCCACCUGGGAUUCAGCAACAGUUAAGUCUCCGCUGGUAAAUGACAUUCUUCUUCAGCAACCUGUUCAUCGUCGUUUUCGACUCGGGAUUCCGGUUCAGAAACAGUAUUUUCUUCGACAAUGAGCUUUGUGUACGACUGGCAUUCUUCCUCUGCAGUCUGUUCCUCAGCCAAUUCAACUGGUAAUUCGGCUUCAGAUGUAAGCUGCUCUUCAACAGUUUUCCUAGUGGACGAUGGGCAUUCCUCUGGUAUGUCUUCCUGAACCAAUUCCGUUGGAGAUUCUGCAUCAAGUGCCGAAUUUUCUUCCAUAACCUCAGACUGCAACUGGCAAACCUCACGUGCCUCUUCCUCAUCAAAGACGGUUGAAGAUUCAAUUUCAGAUGUCUUCUCUUCGAUAGCAAUGUCAGUAGACAACUGACCUUGUUCGCCAGCCAACUGUUGGUCAACAAUUUCGACUUGGGAUUCUAGAUCAGUUACAGUCUCCUCCGAAACCAUCAGCUCUGUCGGCAAUUGGGAUUCCGGCUCUUCUAUCUGCUGUUCAAUCAAUUCAACUGUAGACUGCUCUUCGGCUGUUUUUUCAGUCAACAACGGACAUUCCUCUUGUGUCUGUUCAUGGACUAAUUCAACUUGAGAUUCAGCUUCACACGUCGACUGUUCUUCGAUAGUGUUAUCAGACUGCAACUGGUAUGCGCCGUCUUGAAUCUCUUCUUCAUCAAAGGCGACCGGAUGUUCAUCAUCAGAUGUUUUUCUUUCAACGACUUUGACUUGGGAUUCUGGUUCAGGUGUAGUCUUCUUCUCGACUACCGGCUCUGUCUGUGACUGGCUUUCCGUGUCAUCAACCUGUUCAGAUUCAAUAGUUUCCUCAGUCAGAAUAGGAUCCUUAUGCAUUUGUUCGUGAACAACUUCGACGUGGGAUUUAGUUUCAGGUGUGGGCAUCUCUUCAAUGGUGUUCUCAUUCAUCAAUUGGCUGUCCUCUGGCUGGAGUUCUUGGAUGCACUCCUUGGUUUCCAGCACUUCUUCAAUGGCUUCAGUAGUGAGCAGGCUGUCCUCAUCCUCUUUAGAAUUAGUGACUCCAGUACAGACUCCACUUGUGAUGCAUUGGUUUUUUCAACCAUAUCCUCAUCACUUAAAAGCCAUCCCUCUUCUUGUGUCUGAUCUUCAACAGAUGUGUCUCCAGGACAGACUCCCCUUGUGAUGCAAUGGUUUUUUCAACAGUUUGCUCGUCAUUCAACAACCAUCCCUCUUCUGAUGUCUGAUCUUCAACAGAUAUGAUUCCGCUACAGACUCCACGUUUGAUACGAACGUUUCUUGAACAGUUUCUUCAACUUGUAACUGGCAUCCCUCUUCGUUUGUCUGUUCUUCUACUGACGUGAUUUCUGGAUCCGAUGGUUUCGGUUCUUCGACAUAAGAUUGGCUGACUUCCUCCUCUUGUACGACAGGUGACUCCGAUACAGAUUCCGCUUGUGUUACAAUUGUUUCUUGUAUCUCUUCUUCAACAGCUGUGAUUUCAGGUUCAGGUGCAGAUUCUACCUCUUGCUUGACAGGAUGGUCCUCAACAGAUUCGACUUCCUGGGUAGAUUUCUCUUCGACUGCAUCUUUUUGCACUGACUCUCGAACAGAUUCAACUUCGCAUUUUAGUACCUCUUCAACCACUUCUUGAAUUUCAACUUGUGUUUGUUCUUCCUGUGCUUUAGUUUCUUCCUUGACGCAUUCAAUUUCAGAUAUUGGCUUUUCUUCGACUGCUAUUUCAGUUUUCUCUUGAACAGUUUCAACUACAGGUGCAGCAGUUGCAGACAGAAUGUUCUCUGUCACAACAUCUUCUUCCAUCUCACUUGGCUGCCUUUCAGAUGGUAAUCUGCGUACAAACGAGCGGAGGAAUGAUUCACUCUCAGCGGUUGACGUUCGGCAAAACUCCUCUUCAACUGGAUCUUGGAUCUCUUGCGAGCUCUGAAGCACAGCAAUCUUGACCGGCUCGGAGUUGGCUACCUUGGAAGCCCUUGAAGUCAUCGUUCCUGAAAAUGAGUUUUAAAAAAAAAAAACCUAUCAAUCUUUUAAUGCCAACCUUAUCAGACAGGUGCGGUGCGAGUAGCUCGGCCACGGCGGUAGUUGAAAGUUUGUCAGUGACGUUACCCAUCUGGCGACAGAUACGCUCCAUGGCUCGUUCAGUCUCCUCCAGUCUGCGGCGCAGUUGAUCCACUUCUUCCUCCUCUAUUUAUUUCCAACCGGGAAAUAAACAAACAAUUAGUGUUUUUGUUUUACAGGGAGCCUUAAUAUAUGCACACAGUUUAAACUGAUGUGCUACAUUCUGUGCGGUUAGUAAUGCCAAAAAUGCGCUCAUAUUACUCUGGGCUUUGAGUGCGGCAAAUGCCAGGCGGAGUGAUCUUUCGUCGGCGUCGUUGAGAUCAAUGUCAUCCGAACCCGUCUCGUUGUCAUCGUCGCUGGCAGUCGAUCCGCUGGCAAAUCCUGGUGGCAGGGAAAUUACAGGUAAAAUGUUAAUGUUACAAGAAGCACUUACCAAUCGGUUUGCCAUCCGUGUCCAUUUUGGGGCUACGCGGGAUGAUCACCUCCUCUACAAUCUCUUCUACUAUCGAUUCCUCUUGAGCUGGUUCGCAUUUGCUAACGCUUUCUUCGGCAAUCACUUCCGUCUUUUGACACACGUGCUCCAAAACCGGUUCCAAUUCUUCUGCAGAUUAUUGAGACUUCUGGGGUUUUGGAGCGACUCCUUCUCUGCUCUUGAAGCAACAAUUGUCUUUGCUGUUCCUGCAGAAGGGCAUAUUCUUUGACGGACAUUUCCGACACUGCGCCUGGAACUCCGGAACAAUACUCUUCUGCAAAAAGGUAUUUGCGAUGCUCUGCAUCCAUAUGGAAAUCUUUGAUGCGAGGAAGGGUUUCUUCUUCAGAUGCAGGCUUUUUGAACAUGAUCUAUUAUAGUUGUCAUUAGAUCGGGUUAAAUUUGUUCUCGAUUUAGCCAUUUCAUCUUAGCUAUGGAAUAUUCAAUUGGGUACAACCUUCAUCAUUGUGUAGAGGAAGAAAACGACGAUGCCAAUUGUAUAGAUCGGCAUUAAGAUGCCCAUGCCACCGGAACCUUGGGAAGGCGAAACGAUGUGAGGGGCUCCUCCCAUGGGCGGACGCAUUCCCGGCAUAGGGCCGGGCUGACGGAUGCAAUUAGAAAGAUAGUGUUUUUUAAACAAGACCAUGUUUUGUUGUUCUUACACACAAAAUAGAACACUUCGCAGACAGGGAAACAUGUAUACACGUGUUUCAUCGUGUGCCUCUUCAUUAGGUGCGCUCGUAUAAGUCAUAUUUAGUUAACAACGUCCUGCUUUUAUUUUUGAAAAAUUGUGGGGCCAUAACGACGCAAACAGUGAUAGACAGCAUAACCUAGAAGAGACCGAUGUCAAAGGAUCGUCGUGGACCAUUUAGAAUGGCUUUACAAACCACAGGGGAAAGCAAAUAUUCACGGCCACCGAAAAAAGAGGAAAGGUCGACGUCAGCACAGCAGAAAAACCAUCAGACGGCCGACUAAUUUUAGCCCGAAAACCCGUACGCUCAUUCCCCGACAGCUCUCUGACUCUUUUUUCUUUUCCUCUCUCGCAACUUCUCAUGCAUCGCCAGUGCGGAAGAACUAUUUAUUCACUCGGUUCUAUAUAUAAUAAACAGCUGUCGCGAGGGCCCAACAGCCGGAAAGUUCUCCAUUCCGAUGGUUGUGCCCCAAUCUUGGGGAAUAAUUCGUCACUUCAUUCAUUGAAACAAUCAACAGUCGUUGGAACCAAAACCGUCAAGACGCCCCAUUUUGUUCCUGGUGAUGAUGUCAAAGCAAUAAUAAAAAAAGAAAAUGGGAGAACAAGUCUUUUCCGGAGACGACGAGUCAUCGCGGUCAACAGCCACACGCGCCGGUGAGAAAAAAACAAAACAAAACGAAAUGUUGAGUGUCUAUUUACAAAUAAUACCUUGGCCUGUUUUUCUAUGGUGCGGGUGGGCGGUAUGACGCGGCCUUUUUCGCGGAGGGCCGGAUGCAUGACGUCCGGAUGCAAAUGCGGAGGUCGCUCCGGUCGCAUGUGUCCUGGUAACGAGAACGGAACAAAUUCAAUUAGAUUAUUCUUUUUUGAUGGAUCUUCCACAACGAAUGACAUCCCUUAUCAGUUAGUCGGAUGAAGAACAGUUAACGGAUAUCAGAUGAUGUUGGCUAAGGAUUGUUGAAUUUCGGAUGAAAAUGGGUGAGUAUUUUAAAUAUUAAAAAAUAUCAAUUUUUGAUGGAGAAGGGAGGGAGGUGGUGGAGGAUGGAGUUAAGGAGGGACCUUGGAGGGCUUACGUGGGU